rnacentral:misc_RNA from 1 species
GUCAUCAACUAAACUAUUUAGAUAUGUAAUCACAUCUAUUGAAUAAGCAUUUAAACAAAUUAUAAGAGUUCUUUUAAGAAAAUAUCACAAAUGGAAUUUGAAAUCAAUGUCCAAUUAACCAUAGCAAUAAAAGCAAUACUCAGGGAGCCACUGCUGGAUUAUCAUUAAAUUCAUAAACUAUAACUACACCUCUUAACAAUUCAUUGAAAAUGGAAUAACAACCUUAAAAAAUAGCCUCUCGUCAACAAAGAGAAUAUAACUAAUAAAAGCCAGAUAAAAUCAAUUAAAUGAAGGGAGAGAGGAGAAGAUAAAAACAAUAAAAUUGAAACACAGAAGAUUUUGCAGUUCAUGCAUAUCGUUUGCCACAUAGAAUUACCUGAUUGAUCAGCAACUUGGGCAAUUCUUCCCAGCCCUAUAA